AGUGGGAUAGCUGGAUCAAAUGGUGGUUUCAUUUCAAGUUUUAUAAGGAAUCUCCAUAUUGCUUUCCAUAUUAGCUGCACCAAUUUGCAGUCCCACAAGCAAU
rnacentral:pre_miRNA from 1 species